UACGUGGGGUGCAAGCGUUGUUCGGAAUUACUGGGCGUAAAGGGCUCGUAGGCGGCCAACUAAGUCGGAUGUGAAAUCCCCAGGCUUAACUUGGGAACUGCAUCCGAUACUGGAUGGCUUGAAUCCGGGAGAGGGAUGCGGAAUUCCAGGUGUAGCGGUGAAAUGCGUAGAUAUCUGGAGGAACACCGGUGGCGAAGGCGGCAUCCUGGACCGGCAUUGACGCUGAGGAGCGAAAGCCAGGGGAGCAAACGGG
rnacentral:rRNA from 1 species